AAACUAACAAGGAUUCCCCUAGUAACGGCGAGUGAAGCGGGAAGAGCUCAAAUUUGAAAUCUGGCAGCCUCAGGUUGUCCGAGUUGUAAUCUAUAGAGGCGUUUUCCGCGUCGGACUGUGUCCAAGUCCCUUGGAACAGGGUAUCAAAGAGGGUGACAAUCCCGUACUUGACACAACCACCGAUGCUAUGUGAUACGCUUUCUACGAGUCGAGUUGUUUGGGAAUGCAGCUCAAAAUGGGUGGUAAAUUCCAUCUAAAGCUAAAUAUUGGCGAGAGACCGAUAGCGAACAAGUACCGUGAGGGAAAGAUGAAAAGCACUUUGGAAAGAGAGUUAAACAGUACGUGAAAUUGUUGAAAGGGAAACGAUUGAAGUCAGUCGUGUUCUUCAGAUUCAGCUGGUUCUGCCAGUCUACUUCUGUUGAACGGGUCAACAUCAGUUUUGUCCGGUGGAAAAGGGCAGGAGGAAAGUAGCUCCCUCGGGAGUGUUAUAGCCUCUUGUCGCAUACACUGGGUGAGACUGAGGAA
rnacentral:rRNA from 1 species